ACAUGCCACUAACGAAGCAGAGAUGCAUUAGGUGCCCGUAAGGGAAAGUGGACACAGGUGCUGCAUGGCUGUCGUCAGCUCGUGUCGUGAGAUGUUGGGUUAAGUCCGCAACGAGCGCAACCCUUGCCAUUAAUUGCCAUCAUUUAGUUGGGCACUUUAAUGGGACUGCCGGUGACAAACCGGAGGAAGGUGGGGAUGACGUCAAGUCCUCAUGGCCCUUAUGGCCAGGGCUUCACACGUAAUACAAUGGUCGGUACAGAGAGUUGCCAAGCCGCGAGGUGGAGCUAAUCUCAGAAAGCCGAUCGUAGUCCGGAUUGUUCUCUGCAACUCGAGAGCAUGAAGUCGGAAUCGCUAGUAAUCGCGGAUCAGCAUGUCGCGGUGAAUACGUUCCCGGGCCUUGUACACACCGCCCGUCACACCAUGGGAGUGGGUUUUACCAGAAGUAGUUAGUCUAACCGUAAGGGGGACGAUUACCACGGUAGUAUUCAUGACUGGGGUGAAGUCGUAACAAGGUAGGCGUAGUGCU
rnacentral:rRNA from 1 species